UGUUAGGUUGGCGCAAAAGUAAUUGCAGUUUUUGCCAUUGAAAGUAAUGGCAAAAACCACAAUUACUUUUGCGCCCACCUAAUA
rfam:Pan troglodytes isolate Yerkes chimp pedigree #C0471 (Clint) chromosome 3, whole genome shotgun sequence.